rnacentral:rRNA from 1 species
CCUACGGGAUGCUGCAGUGAGGAAUAUUGGUCAAUGGACGCAAGUCUGAACCAGCCAUGCCGCGUGCAGGAAGACGGCUCUAUGAGUUGUAAACAGCUUUUGUACGAGGGUAAACGCAGAUACGCGUAUCUGUCUGAAAGUAACGUACGAAUAAGGAUCGGCUAAGUCCGUGCCAGGAGCCGCGGUAAUACGGAGGAUUCAAGCGUUAUCCGGAUUUAUUGGGUUUAAAGGGUGCGUAGGCGGUCGGUUAAGUUAGAGGUGAAAUCCCGAGGCUCAACCUCGGAACUGCCUCUGAUACUGGUCGGCUAGAGUGUAGUUGCGGUAGGCGGAAUGUCUGGUGUAGCGGUGAAAUGCUUAGAGAUC